rnacentral:rRNA from 1 species
CCUGGCUCAGGAUGAACGCUAGCGACAGGCUUAACACAUGCAAGUCGAGGGGCAGCACAGGUAGCAAUACCGGGUGGCGACCGGCGCACGGGUGAGUAACGCGUAUGCAACUUACCUAUCAGAGGGGGAUAACCCGGCGAAAGUCGGACUAAUACCGCAUGAAGCAGGGGCCCCGCAUGGGGAUAUUUGCUAAAGAUUCAUCGCUGAUAGAUAGGCAUGCGUUCCAUUAGGCAGUUGGCGGGGUAACGGCCCACCAAACCGACGAUGGAUAGGGGUUCUGAGAGGAAGGUCCCCCACAUUGGUACUGAGACACGGACCAAACUCCUACGGGAGGCAGCAGUGAGGAAUAUUGGUCAAUGGGCGUAAGCCUGAACCAGCCAAGUCGCGUGAGGGAUGAAGGUUCUAUGGAUCGUAAACCUCUUUUAUAAGGGAAUAAAGUGUAGGACGUGUCUAUUUUGUAUGUACCUUAUGAAUAAGGAUCGGCUAACUCUGUGCCAGCAGCCGCGGUAAUACGGAGGAUCCGAGCGUUAUCCGGAUUUAUUGGGUUUAAAGGGUGCGUAGGCGGCCUUUUAAGUCAGCGGUGAAAGUCUGUGGCUCAACCAUAGAAUUGCCGUUGAAACUGGGAGGCUUGAGUAUGUUUGAGGCAGGCGGAAUGCGUGGUGUAGCGGUGAAAUGCUUAGAUAUCACGCAGAACCCCGAUUGCGAAGGCAGCCUGCCAAGCCAUGACUGACGCUGAUGCACGAAAGCGUGGGGAUCAAACAGGAUUAGAUACCCUGGUAGUCCACGCAGUAAACGAUGAUCACUAGCUGUUUGCGAUACAGUGUAAGCGGCACAGCGAAAGCGUUAAGUGAUCCACCUGGGGAGUACGCCGGCAACGGUGAAACUCAAAGGAAUUGACGGGGGCCCGCACAAGCGGAGGAACAUGUGGUUUAAUUCGAUGAUACGCGAGGAACCUUACCCGGGUUUGAACGCAUUCGGACCGAGGUGGAAACACCUUUUCUAGCAAUAGCCGUUUGCGAGGUGCUGCAUGGUUGUCGUCAGCUCGUGCCGUGAGGUGUCGGCUUAAGUGCCAUAACGAGCGCAACCCUUGCCACUAGUUACUAACAGGUGAUGCUGAGGACUCUGGUGGGACUGCCAGCGUAAGCUGCGAGGAAGGCGGGGAUGACGUCAAAUCAGCACGGCCCUUACAUCCGGGGCGACACACGUGUUACAAUGGCGUGGACAAAGGGAGGCCACCUGGCGACAGGGAGCGAAUCCCCAAACCACGUCUCAGUUCGGAUCGGAGUCUGCAACCCGACUCCGUGAAGCUGGAUUCGCUAGUAAUCGCGCAUCAGCCAUGGCGCGGUGAAUACGUUCCCGAGCGUUGUACACACCG